GCCCGGCUAGCUCCAGUCGGUAGAGCACGGGAACUCUUAAUCUCAGGGUCGUGGGAUCGACCCCACGUUGGGCG